rnacentral:rRNA from 1 species
UACGUAGGCAGCAAGCGUUGUUCGGAAUUACUGGGCGUAAAGAGUGUGUAGGUGGUGUCGUAAGUUCGGUGUGAAAUCUCCCGGCUUAACUGGGAGGGUGCGCCGAAGACUGCGAUGCUGGAGUAUGGGAGAGGAAAGCGGAAUUCCUGGUGUAGCGGUGAAAUGCGUAGAUAUCAGGAGGAACACCUGCGGUGUAGACGGCUUUCUGGACCAUUACUGACACUGAGACACGAAAGCGUGGGUAGCAAACAGG